rnacentral:rRNA from 1 species
GACGAACGCUGGCGGCGUGCUUAACACAUGCAAGUCGAACGGAAAGGCCCUGCUUUUGUGGGGUGCUCGAGUGGCGAACGGGUGAGUAACACGUGAGUAACCUGCCCUUGACUUUGGGAUAACUUCAGGAAACUGGGGCUAAUACCGGAUAGGAGCUCCUGCUGCAUGGUGGGGGUUGGAAAGUUUCGGCGGUUGGGGAUGGACUCGCGGCUUAUCAGCUUGUUGGUGGGGUAGUGGCUUACCAAGGCUUUGACGGGUAGCCGGCCCGAGAGGGUGACCGGCCCCCAUGGGACUGGGGGUCCGGCCCGCACCCCCCCGGGGGGAAGCGGGGGGGACAUUUGCCCCAGGGGCGGAGCCCGGUGCCGCCAACCCCGGGUGCGGGAUUCCGGCCUCCGGUUUGAAACCCCCUUUCCCCUUUGCCGACGGGUGGGUACCGGAAUUGGUUAAAGAACCCCCGCCUACCUCCGG